ensembl:misc_RNA Metazoa_SRP Metazoan signal recognition particle RNA
GCUCAGCACCGUGGCAGGUGUCUGUGGUCCCAGCUUCUGGGGAGGCUGAGGUGGGAGGACCACUAGAGCCCAGGAGUUCUGAGCUGCAAUGCACUGUGUCUAUCGGGUGUUCACAUUAAGUUCGGCAUCAAUGUGGUGACCUCCUGGGAGUGGGGGACCAACAGCUUACCUAAGGAGAGACGAACUUGUCCAGGUUGGAAAUGGAGGAGGUCAAAACUCCCGUGCUGAUCAGCAGUGGGAUCACACCAGUGAAUAGCCACUGCACUCCAGCCUGGGUAACACAGUGAGACACUGCCUCUA